GUCGUGUCCGUGCAUUUACGCAUGAACUGUUCUACCAAAGCUUCCCAAAUUUUAAUAUGUUGUUACUGACAACUAAAUGAAGGUCAAGUUCAACAAUGACGAUUUUGACUUUUACCGUUCAGGAGUUAUGGUUCUUGAAAGAUUGAAAAAAAUGGAGUUUCCAGUCGUGUCCGUGCAUUUACGCAUGAACUGUUCUACCAAAGCUUCCCAAAUUUAAAUAUGUUGUUACUGGUGACAAAAUGGAGGUCAAGUUCAAUAAUGACGAUUUUGACUUUUACCGUUCAGGAGUUAUGGUUCUUAAAAGAUUGAAAAAUGGUGUUUCCAGUCGUGUCCGUGCAUUUUCUCAUGAACCAUUCAACCAAAGCUUUUAAAAUUUUUAUAUGUUGUUACUGACAACUAAAUGAAGAUCAAGUUCAACAAUGACGAUUUUGACUUUUACCGUUCAGGAGUUAUGGUUCUUGAAAGAUUGAAAAAUGGAGUUUCCAGUCGUGUCCGUGCAUUUACGCAUGAACUGUUCUACCAAAGCUUCCCAAAUUUAAAUAUGUUGUUACUGAUGACAAAAUAGAGGUCAAGUUCAAUAAUGACGAUUUUGACUUUUACUGUUCAGGAGUUAUGGUUCUUGAAAGAUCGUAAAAUGGCGUUUCCAUUCACGUUGUUGCAUUUACUCAUGAACCAUUCAAUCUAAGCUUUUCAAAUUUUAAUAUGUUGAUACUGAUGACAAAAUGGAGGUCAAAUUUGAUAUUGACGAUUUUCACUUUCACCAUUCAUCAGUAAUGGUUCUUGUGAUAUUGCCAGGACACAAAUAAAUGUUAAUAAAUCCGGUUUGCUGUCGUUGUGACAGCCUCUUGUU
rnacentral:lncRNA from 1 species